UACGAAGGGGGCUAGCGUUGCUCGGAUUGACUGGGCGUAAAGGGCGCGUAGGCGGCGGACACAGUCAGACGUGAAAUUCCUGGGCUCAACCUGGGGGCUGCGUUUGAUACAUGUCUGCUUGAGUUCGGAAGAGGGUCGUGGAAUUCCCAGUGUAGAGGUGAAAUUCGUAGAUAUUGGGAAGAACACCGGUGGCGAAGGCGGCGACCUGGUCCGAUACUGACGCUGAGACGCGAAAGCGUGGGGAGCGAACAGG
rnacentral:rRNA from 1 species